UUCUUUAUCACCGAGUGCUUGCACUCACCGAUAAAGAGUUGAGUGGCGAACGGGUGAGUAACACGUGGGCAACCUGCCCAAAAGAGGGGGAUAACACUUGGAAACAGGUGCUAAUACCGCAUAACCAUAGUUACCGCAUGGUAACUAUGUAAAAGGUGGCUAUGCUACCGCUUUUGGAUGGGCCCGCGGCGCAUUAGCUAGUUGGUGGGGUAAAGGCUUACCAAGGCAAUGAUGCGUAGCCGAACUGAGAGGUUGAUCGGCCACAUUGGGACUGAGACACGGCCCAAACUCCUACGGGAGGCAGCAGUAGGGAAUCUUCCACAAUGGGCGAAAGCCUGAUGGAGCAACGCCGCGUGGGUGAAGAAGGUCUUCGGAUCGUAAAACCCUGUUGUUAGAGAAGAAAGUGCGUGAGAGUAACUGUUCACGUUUCGACGGUAUCUAACCAGAAAGCCACGGCUAACUACGUGCCAGCAGCCGCGGUAAUACGUAGGUGGCAAGCGUUAUCCGGAUUUAUUGGGCGUAAAGGGAACGCAGGCGGUCUUUUAAGUCUGAUGUGAAAGCCUUCGGCUUAACCGGAGUAGUGCAUUGGAAACUGGGAGACUUGAGUGCAGAAGAGGAGAGUGGAACUCCAUGUGUAGCGGUGAAAUGCGUAGAUAUAUGGAAGAACACCAGUGGCGAAAGCGGCUCUCUGGUCUGUAACUGA
rnacentral:rRNA from 1 species